rnacentral:lncRNA from 1 species
CUUGGAGCUUGCUGAAUGGCUAUGGAUGAACUUGUUGUUGUGUGUGUACCUUUGGGACUGGCUGAGGAAAUAAUGAAGCCAUGAUGGCUGGAAAAGUUAGCAAAUAUAGGGGAAGUGCUGUCCGAACUUUUAAAGGAUUUGUUUGCAUUGAGUUUGUGAUCUAAGACUUGGGUUUGAGCAAGGCAAUGAUACAUGAUGGAUGAUUUCUGAGCCAUUGAGGUGAGUGACCUCAAACUAUUUCUGAAGUUCUUUAUGAACCGUUUCCUGCAUUAUUUACUUUUAAACUGUUUCCAAAAGUUACUUUUGAACUGUUUUCUUGCAUAUCAUGCGUACUUGCAUAUGAGUUUCCCUUGGUUGCUGUAAUUCUUGACUUAUUGGCUUGUCAUUAUUAAUUGAAAAUGUGUUAAGUACUUUCGAUGAUUGUUAAAACGAGUUUUCUAGGCGAGUGUGUACUUUAUCGCACUCGACCUAAAUAAAUAUGAAUUGUCAAUGAUUAAUGAUUAAAUGCUAGUUGCGCAUGAUAUAAGCCUUUUGGCUGAACUGGCCACUGCCCUUCGUUACCGAUCGACUCGAGCCAGAAGCGGACUCGGUCGGGCGAUAUGGUGACCCUGGGUGAAUUUGGUAUACUCGAGUAUUACCUUGUAGUCCGGCUGCGUCCGGAUGGGUGGAGUCCGGCCAACGUCGGAUGGGUGGAGUCCGGUCAACGUCCGGAAAAGGGGAUGAACGAAUAAAAAGAUGAACGAGGGUUUAUUUAUAAAAAUGAAAUUUUCAAAUAAUUGGAGGAAUAAGGGGAAAUGUCAGGGGAACGAACAAAUGAAUAGCUCCAUGUGAGCGGUAUCCUUUUAAUGAAUAUGUUACUAUCGCUUUCCAUUGUAAAUGUUUCUUGAAUUAUUGAUUAUUGAUUAUUGAUGGUUAAUGUGUUGGCUUUGUUAUGAAAUUUCAUGUUCGGAACCUUAUUGAGAUUUUAGCUCAUUGAGCUUUGUGAAAUUACCAUGUGGUGUCAUUUUCUGCUUUUGUUUUACUCUCACUGUGCAAAUGUUGACCUGUAACAAAAUUACAUUUUUACCCCCGGUUACUUAUUGAACUUCUAAAACAUUACAAUGAUUUCACUGGCUCACGAGAGCAAAAAUACGUACAUCUGAUUUCUGAACCAUGACAUAAAUGAAAUGAAUUUUUGUGAAAACUAUUUGAUUACUGAUUUUACUGGUUACUCACUGGGCUUUUAGCUCACCCCAAAAAUGUUUUAUUUCCCCCCCCACAGGGCUCAAGGCGAAGGAAGGGCUUGUUGUGCUUAUUCACGUGAUUGGAUGGCUUAUAUCGUGUACAGUUUAAGUUUGGA